UACGGAAGGCAGCAGUGGGGAAUAUUGCACAAUGGGCGCAAGCCUGAUGCAGCCAUGCCGCGUGUAUGAAGAAGGCCUUCGGGUUGUAAAGUACUUUCAGUCGUGAGGAAGGUGUUAAGGUUAAUAACCUUAGCAAUUGACGUUAGCGACAGAAGAAGCACCGGCUAACUCCGUGCCAGCAGCCGCGGUAAUACGGAGGGUGCGAGCGUUAAUCGGAAUUACUGGGCGUAAAGGGCACGCAGGCGGUUAAUUAAGUUGGAUGUGAAAUCCCCGGGCUUAACCUGGGAACUGGCAUUCAAGACUGGUUAGCUAGAGUCUUGUAGAGGGGGUAGAAUUCCGAUGUGUAGCGGUGAAAUGCGUAGAGAUGUGGAGGAAUACCGGUGGCGAAGGCGGCCCCUGGACAAAGGACUGACGCUCAUGUGCGAAAGCGUGGGGAGCAAACGAGGGAUUAGAUA
rnacentral:rRNA from 1 species